UGCCCCAUGGCUUAGUUGGCUAUAGCGUCCGACUGUUAAUCGGAAGGUCGAGAGUUUAAGCCUCUCUGGGGCAG
rnacentral:tRNA from 1 species